UGGGGAAUAUUGCGCAAUGGGGGGAACCCUGACGCAGCCAUGCCGCGUGAAUGAAGAAGGCCUUAGGGUUGUAAAGUUCUUUCGGUAUUGAGGAAGGUUGAUGUGUUAAUAGCACAUCAAAUUGACGUUAAAUACAGAAGAAGCACCGGCUAACUCCGUGCCAGCAGCCGCGGUAAUACGGAGGGUGCGAGCGUUAAUCGGAAUAACUGGGCGUAAAGGGCACGCAGGCGGUUAUUUAAGUGAGGUGUGAAAGCCCCGGGCUUAACCUGGGAAUUGCAUUUCAGACUGGGUAACUAGAGUACUUUAGGGAGGGGUAGAAUUCCACGUGUAGCGGUGAAAUGCGUAGAGAUGUGGAGGAAUACCGAAGGCGAAGGCAGCCCCUUGGGAAUGUACUGACGCUCAUGUGCGAAAGCGUGGGGAGCAAACAGGAUUAGAUACCCUGGUAGUCCACGCUGUAAACGCUGUCGAUUUGGGGGUUGGGGUUUAACUCUGGCGCCCGUAGCUNNACCCCCGNGGGGGGGGNGNGGGCCGCAAGGUU
rnacentral:rRNA from 1 species